AUUGAACGCUGGCGGCAUGCCUUACACAUGCAAGUCGAACGGUAGCGGGCCUUCGGGUGCCGACGAGUGGCGAACGGGUGAGUAAUGUAUCGGAACGUACCUUUCAGUGGGGGAUAACGUAGCGAAAGUUACGCUAAUACCGCAUAUUCUGUGAGCAGGAAAGCAGGGGAUCGCAAGACCUUGCGCUGAUUGAGCGGCCGAUAUCAGAUUAGCUAGUUGGUGAGGUAAAGGCUCACCAAGGCGACGAUCUGUAGCGGGUCUGAGAGGAUGAUCCGCCACACUGGGACUGAGACACGGUCCAGACUCCUACGGGAGGCAGCAGUGGGGAAUUUUGGACAAUGGGGGCAACCCUGAUCCAGCCAUGCCGCGUGAGUGAAGAAGGCCUUCGGGUUGUAAAGCUCUUUCGGCCGGGAAGAAAUCGUAUCAGCUAAUACCUGGUGCGGAUGACGGUACCGGCAUAAGAAGCACCGGCUAACUACGUGCCAGCCGCCGCUGUAAUAC
rnacentral:rRNA from 1 species